rnacentral:rRNA from 1 species
UCAUAUGCUUGUCUCAAAGAUUAAGCCAUGCAUGUCUAAGAAUAAGUCCAUGAAUGACAAAUCUGCGAAUGGCUCAUUAAAUCAGUUAUUGUUUAUUUGAUGUGUGUAAAAAUGUAUUUUUACACUUUUACUGCUGGAUAACCGUAGUAAUUCUAGAGCUAAUACAUGUGAAAAAAAGCCAUUGAUUUCAUUUUCAGUGGCUGCAUUUAUUAGAUUCAAAACCAAAUCGCCUUUGUUAGUUCACUCUAAUAAAGAAAAACCGAAUGGUGAUUCAUAAUAACUAAGCUAAUCGAAAUUUAAAUAAGAAAGUGAUUUGUAAUACUUGUAUUGCUUUUCAUUUUCUUUUUCGAUGCUUCAUUCAAAUUUCUGCCCUAUCAGCUUUCGAUGGUAGGAUAUUGGCCUACCAUGGCUAUAACGGGUAACGGGGAAUCAGGGUUCGAUUCCGGAGAGGGAGCUUGAGAAAUAGCUACCACAUCCAAGGAUGGCAGCAGGCGCGCAAAUUACCCAAUCCCAAUACGGGGAGGUAGUGACAAUAAAUAACAAUGUUGGAAUGUUUUAAAAAUUCUAACAAUUGGAAUGAGAGUAAUUUAGACCUCUUCUCGAGGAUCCAUUGGAGGGCAAGUCUGGUGCCAGCAGCCGCGGUAAUUCCAGCUCCAAUAGCGUAUGUUAAAGUUGUUGCAGUUAAAAAGCUCGUAGUCUAAAUUGCAAAGUCUUUAUGGAAAUGGUGUUUUUCUUUCCCAAAAGUUUUUUUGAUGAAAAUAUUUCUUAUAUUUUCAUCAAAUCCUAAACAUUUGAGUUUCAAAAGUUAGACAUCCCAACUUUGCUUGUACUUUGGAGAACAAAUAUUAAGAAACUUGUUUUUUAAUAUUUGGAUUCCAAUUGUUUACUUUGAGAAAACUAGAGUGUUCAAAGCAGGCGAAAUUAAAAUUUCUCUCGCAACUGAAUACAUUAGCAUGGGAUAAUAAAAUAGGACAUUAUGGAAAGAAUAUUUUCAUUUUAAUUUGAGUUUACUCAUUUUAACUUGAGAUUUCUUUUUUUGGUCCUAUUAUGUUUUUGAUUGGUGGUCCAAGGACCAAUGUAAUGAUUAAUAGGAACGGUUGGGGACAUUCAUAUUGCGUGGCUAGAGGUGAAAUUCUUGGAUUCACGCAAGAUGAACUGCUGCGAAAGCGUUUGUCAAAGACGUUUUCAUUGAUCAAGAACGAAAGUUAGGGGAGCAAAGACGAUCAGAUACCGUCGUAGUCCUAACUAUAGACGAUGCCGACUAGGGAUCGGUGGGCGUUAAUAUAAAAUUGAAUUACGCUUUGAAAAUAAAUUAUUUCUAACUUUCGGGUUACGUAAUGUUUAUUUUCAAUUGUUUUUCAAGAAAUGACCCCAUCGGCACCUCAAUUUGAUACUUCUCAAUGGGAAACCAAAGUUUUUGGGUUCCGGGGGGAGUAUGGUCGCAAGGCUGAAACUUAAAGGAAUUGACGGAAGGGCACCACCAGGAGUGGAGUUUGCGGCUUAAUUUGACUCAACACGGGAAAACUCACCAGGCCCAGACAUGGUAAGGAUUGACAGAUUGAGAGCUCUUUCCUGAUUCCAUGAAAGGUGGCGCAUGGCCGUUCUUAGUUGGUGGAGUGAUUUGUCUGGUUAAUUCCGUUAACGAACGAGACCUUGGCCUGCUAACUAGGGGGGGUUAUCGUUUGGAUGAGAUUUGAUAGAGUUAACUUUAAAUUGUCCUUUCGGGUAAUUUAAUUUUGACUGUUGUCUGCUUAUUCAUAUUUUGCGAUAGCACCUAAGAUUUCAAAAAUCUUUCAACUCUUUCUUCUGGGUUUAGGAUAAGGGAAUUUAAGGGAUUGAGGAUUUCGGUUCUCUUUUUCUUAUUUUCAUCAAACCUUGUCUUAUUCUUGUGAAAGAGAAAAUCCUUCUUAGAGGGACUAUCUGCGUUUUUUUAACUAGCAGAUGGAAGCUCGAGGCAAUAACAGGUCUGUGAUGCCCUUAGAUGUCCUGGGCUGCACGCGUACUACACUGACGAAUUCAACAAGCGAUUUAAAUUUGGUUUGAAGGGGAUGAGAGUUCACUUGUGGAUUUUCAUUUUCUUUUUAUCAAAAACCUUGGCAGAAAUGUUUGGGUAAUCUCUUUAAAGUUCGUCGUGCUAGGGAUAGAUGAUUGUAAUUAUUCGUCUUCAACGAGGAAAUCCUAGUAAGUGUA